rnacentral:rRNA from 1 species
UACGUAGGGGGCUAGCGUUGUCCGGAAUCAUUGGGCGUAAAGAGCGUGUAGGCGGCCCGGUAAGUCCGCUGUGAAAGUCGGGGGCUCAACCCUCGAAUGCCGGUGGAUACUGUCGGGCUAGAGUGCGGAAGAGGCGAGUGGGAUUCCUGGUGUAGCGGUGAAAUGCGCAGAUAUCAGGAGGAACACCGAUUGCGAAGGCAGCUCGCUGGGACGUAACUGACGCUGAGGAGCGAAAGCAUGGGGAGCGAACAGG